AAAAAUAAAAAAAGACAUUACAAAAAAGUUAUCAAAAUAUAAUUAAACAAUGGAGAAAGAAGAGAACAGGCGAUGGAUUAUGAAAGAGUAUGAAAAUUUUGAGGAAUAUACACCUAACACAUCAGUUAAAUCAACGGUAUUAGAGAAAUUUAUGAAGGAUCUGAAGAUAAACGUAGUAAAAGAAGAAGACAAUGAAAUAGAAUUUGAUUUGAUUGGUUGUCAUACCUCACUGGCCAAUGCGUUUCGUAGAAUACUUUUGAGUGAAAUACCAAGCAUGGCUAUUGAACGGGUUUAUGUCAUAAAUAAUACCAGUUUGCUUCAGGAUGAAGUACUUGCACAUAGAUUGGGUCUUAUACCUCUUCGUGCAGAUCCUAGAUUAUUUGAAUAUCCUCCGAGUAAUGCAAGAGCGGAUGAUGAGGUCAGUGACCAAGAUACUCUAAGGUACGAAUUGAAAGUUACAUGCAGUGUGAAUCCCCAAGCGCCGAAGAAUUCUCGCCUUCCCGAAGAUAUGUACAAAAAUAGCAUAGUUGAAAGUAAGGAUAUCAAAUGGGUGCCUAUAGGUCGACAGGCAGAUAUGUUUCCACGCGGAACGGAACAGUUAGGUGUCUUAUACGACAAUAUAUUAAUAUGUAAAAUGCGUCCUGGUCACGAAAUCCACGUGUUUAUGCACGCAGUUAAAGGCAUUGGCAAAGAUCACGCCAAAUUCUCUCCUGUGGCUACUGCAUCAUAUCGCCUUUUGCCGUCUAUUCGGCUAACUAAACCUGUGAGAGAUGAGGAUGCAGAUCUCCUGCAGAGUUGUUUCAGUCCCGGUGUAAUAGAAGUAGUAAAACAAGAGACAGACUCGGGUGAGAAGUAUCGUGAGGCACAUGUUAAGAACGCUCGUUACGAUAGCUGUUCCAGAAACGUCUAUCGUUAUGAUCACUUAAAGAAUUGUGUAGAAUUGAGUCGGAUGAAGAGACAUUUUAUCUUCACUAUAGAGUCUGUGGGAACGUUAUCACCUGCUAUACUAUUUACGGAAGCUGUUAAAGUUCUGAAGAAUAAAUGCAGAGCAUUUCUCGCAGAAUUGGAUCACGUAAAAUAGUUUCAAAGUAAUCUUCUUGGUGAGAUAAAUCAUCCAAAGAUUUGUCGCAGGAAAGUUGGCGUUUUAUGAAUAGCAAUAAAACCUUGUGACCAACAAUAAUAACAGCAAGUAUAUGUGAGAUUCCGAUGACAGCUGUUGACUGCCGAAACGAAUUCAUUACAGCUGAAGUAAUAUAUUUACAUGCUAUUUUUACUAAAAUUUUUGUAAUAUACGUAUAAUAAAAUUGUAACGAUCAUAAUUUUCUAUAUCAGUAUUUAAGGUAAACUGAUCUUUUGAGAAAAACUUUAUAGACAUAUAUAUAU